AUACUUACUGGCAGGGGAGAUACCAUGAUCAUGCAGGUGGUUUUCCCAGGGUGAGGCUUAUCCACUGUACUCUGAAUGUGCUCACCCCUGCCAUUUCCCCAAAUGGGAGAAACUCAGUGGCAUACUUUGUGGUAUUGGAGGACUGUGUUCACAUUUUCUCCCG